UGACGGGCCGCACAAGCGGUAGGAGCAUGUGGUUUAAUUCGAAGCAACGCGAAGAACCUUACCAGGUCUUGACAUCCGAUGCUAUUUCUAGAGAUAGAAAGUUACUUCGGUACAUCGGUGACAGGUGGUGCAUGGUUGUCGUCAGCUCGUGUCGUGAGAUGUUGGGUUAAGUCCCGCAACGAGCGCAACCCCUAUUGUUAGUUGCCAUCAUUCGGUUGGGCACUCUAGCGAGACUGCCGGUAAUAAACCGGAGGAAGGUGGGGAUGACGUCAAAUCAUCAUGCCCCUUAUGACCUGGGCUACACACGUGCUACAAUGGUUGGUACAACGAGUUGCGAGUCGGUGACGGCGAGCUAAUCUCUUAAAGCCAAUCUCAGUUCGGAUUGUAGGCUGCAACUCGCCUACAUGAAGUCGGAAUCGCUAGUAAUCGCGGAUCAGCACGCCGCGGUGAAUACGUUCCCGGGCCUU
rnacentral:rRNA from 1 species